GAGUGAGACCAGGGCGGUCCCGCAGAGAGAAAAGGUUGCAGUGGGUGAUGUUAGCCGACUGGAUGCUGGGCGGGAAGCGGUCUGUGCUCACCGCGCUAGUGGAGGGGCCCCGCGGCUUUGCGGUUUGCGGGGCAGACCAGGUGAUACAAAGUGCCGCACAGGGGAAGCCAGGCUCUGCUGGGAUGGACAGUGUCCAGCUUCGGCUGCUCUUCUCAGCCCUGAGACCACGACGCUUAGCCCCCUAGAGCCCGGGACUGGUGGGGUCAUAGGUUGCUGAUUACACCCGUGUGCAAGGGGCGGCACACACCGGCCAAAGCGUGGGGCUGCGCCGUGAGAUGAGCAGGAAAGGUUUCCCUUGCCUCACCUUGGAAUCGUAGCUGGGGAGGGACUCCCGUGUUCACCGGGCCGCCACCCCCCCUACGCCUUCAGGCAGAGGCACGCCCAGACUGCCCAGCGUGGGUGACAGGCUUUCUGGUUUUACCGUCUGCAAAAGAGGCCAGCCUUCCCUAGAGCUACUUCCAGCCCCCCCUCCCUUUCUUCCGUCCUGAAGAAGAGCCACCUGCUCGCCAUUUCCUCUGUCGCCACCCUUUAGGACCAGUUUUCAUGGCGACGUCUUUGAAAGAAGCCAGUGGGUAGCCUCCAUCUUCCCUACCCAAAUCAAUCGAGAGGAGCCCAGGGGAAGCAAGUCUCUGCUCAGACCUUGCAAGAACCCACCGCAGGGAAAGCGCAGAGCAGACAACUCACCAGGCCCCCGGCGUCCCAUCGGCCCAAGUGCAGAGGGAUGGAGAAAGGGGACAAAUUCCCCAUGCAGAGGGCCUUUGCUCACCCCCACCUGCUGCCUGUAACUCACCAAUGGCUGCAACUCCCAACCCUCUCUGGGUAAGAGGAGCGGGUGGGGAGAGAAGCCAGCAGGAUUGAGGAGAAGGCUACAAAACCAGCAGCUGGGACGGAGGCAUCCCCUCUAACGUGAAGGUCCCAUUACUCAUUGAACCAGCCCUCUACUGUUGUAUGUUUAGGUUGUUUCCAGACAACAGACAUUAAAUACCUUUGUAAUUAAUCUUUAUCC